rnacentral:rRNA from 1 species
AUUGAACGCUGGCGGCAUGCUUAACACAUGCAAGUCUAGCGAGCGGCGGACGGGUGAGUAAUGUCUGGGAAACUGCCCGAUGGAGGGGGAUAACUACUGGAAACGUUAGCUAAUACCGCAUACCAUCAGAUGUGCCCAGAUUGGAUUAGCUAGUAGGUGGGGUAAUGGCUCACCUCGGCGACGAUCCCUCGCUGGUCUGAGCGGAUGACCAGCAACACUGGAGCUGAGACACGGACCAGAAUCCUAAGGGAGGCAGCAGUGGUGAAGAUUGCGAAAAGGGCGCAAGCCUGAGGCAGCCAUGCCGCGAGGGUGAAGAAGGCCUGCGGGUUGUAAAGAAAGUUCAGCGAGGAGGAGGUAAACGCAGAGGAAGAACCGGCUAACUCCGUGCCAGCAGCCGCGGUAAUAC